AAGGCGGGCAGGCAGGCGGCCAACUCGCGCAAAACCAUAUCAACAUGAAAGGGGAAGAAAACAGAGAAAAAGUCGAAACGUACCUGGGGCUCCAAGGUUUCGCGAGGCGGUUCUCGACGAGGCUGUGCUGCCGAUCGAAUUGGAGCGGGUGCGGAUUUGUCGCUGUGGCCGCGGUGGAGGCACGGAGGCUGAGGACGAGGUGCCGUGGUCCGAGUCUGCACCGCCGGCCCAAGGGUUCCUGAUCGCAACAGCAAAUAUGCGUGAGAAUGCCACAACAGCACGAGGAAUUAUCCAAAAUCCAGCGUGCGUGUUUUUUUUUCGCGGUCAACGAACAAGCAAGCGCACGCUGUGAUCGGAAUAGCGAGAGUGCAGACACACGUGAGAGCAGCUCAUCCAUUGAUUUUUAAUUACCUGAUGCUGGCGGGCGGCUGCGGAAGCUGCGACGGCUGCUGGAAGAGGGGCUGCUGCGGUCGAGGAGGAUCCGCUCCAGCUAAUUGCCGGCUGGUGAGCUGCCGGCCAAGCCUCUGGGGCAUCGCUCAUCCUGGCACCACCGCCUGUGAAUUAUGCAACCCGUCAAUCCGACAAGCACUGUGUAAAGCGACACAAAGUUCCCGGAAUAAGAGCUGAGCCUGCCUAUUAUUUUUUGCGGUCAUCAAAUAUGACAUGUUCAAAAAUUUCAUUUUUGGGUGGUCCAGCACAACAUUAUCAGUGGUUAAAAUAAUUGUAUUUCUGGACAGAAGUCAUUAUCUCUGUAAUUAUUGGCUGCAUUAUUAUGAUUAUUAUCAUUAAACUGAGUCGGAACUGUGUGGGAUUUAUAAUGACUUUUCGAUUUGAUGUCUUUUUAAUGGUCACUCACAUGGGAGGCUUAUAACUUGACCUCAUUUAUUUUUGAAAAUGAAAUUUGUAUCA